rnacentral:tRNA from 1 species
UGCGGGGUCGUCUAACGGUAGGACAGCGGACUUUGAAUCCGUCAAUGAAGGUUCGAGCCCUUCCCCCGCAG